rnacentral:rRNA from 1 species
GAUGAACGCUGGCGGCGUGCCUAAUACAUGCAAGUCGAGCGAACGGACGAGAAGCUUGCUUCUCUGAUGUUAGCGGCGGACGGGUGAGUAACACGUGGAUAACCUACCUAUAAGACUGGGAUAACUUCGGGAAACCGGAGCUAAUACCGGCUAAUAUUUUGAACCGCAUGAUUCAAGAGUGAAAGACGGUCUUGCUGUCACUUAUAGAUGGAUCCGCGCUGCAUUAGCUAGUUGGUAAGGUAACGGCUUACCAAGGCGACGAUGCAUAGCCGACCUGAGAGGGUGAUCGGCCACACUGGAACUGAGACACGGUCCAGACUCCUACGGGAGGCAGCAGUAGGGAAUCUUCCGCAAUGGGCGCAAGCCUGACGGAGCCACGCCGCGUGAGUGAAGAAGGUCUUCGGAUCGUAAAACUCUGUUAUUAGGGAAGAACAUCUGUGUAAGUAACUGUGCACAUCUUGACGGUACCUAAUCAGAAAGCCACGGCUAACUACGUG